rnacentral:rRNA from 1 species
AUAGGCCCUUGGAAACGGGGUCUAAUACUGGAUAUUCAUACCUUGUCGCAUGGUGGGGUGUGGAAAGUUUUUGUGGUGGGGGAUGGACUCGCGGCCUAUCAGCUUGAUGGUGGGGUAGUGGCCUACCAUGGCUUUGACGGGUAGCCGGCCUGAGAGGGUGACCGGCCACACUGGGACUGAGACACGGCCCAGACUCCUACGGGAGGCAGCAGUGGGGAAUAUUGCACAAUGGACGGAAGUCUGAUGCAGCGACGCCGCGUGGGGGAUGACGGCCUUCGGGUUGUAAACCUCUUUCGCCAUCGACGAAGCCUUUUGGGGUGACGGUAGGUGGAGAAGAAGCACCGGCUAACUACGUGC